rnacentral:tRNA from 1 species
AAGAAAUUAGUUAAUACUCAAUAACAUUAGAUUGUCAUUCUAAAAUAAUCUUCCUUAGAUAUUUCUUG